rnacentral:rRNA from 1 species
UACCGGCGGCUCGAGUGGUGGCCACUAUUACUGGGCUUAAAGGGUCCGUAGCUUGAUGUACAAGUCUCUUGAGAAAUCCGCCGGCUUAACCGGUGGGCGUUCAGGGGAAACUGUAUUUCUAGGGACCGGGAGAGGUGAGAGGUACUGCCGGGGUAGGAGUGAAAUCCUGUAAUCCCGGUGGGACCACCUAUGGCGAAGGCAUCUCACCAGAACGGGUCCGACAGUGAGGGACGAAAGCUGGGGGAGCAAACCGGAUUAGAAACCCGCGUAGUCC